CCUACGGGGGGCAGCAGUGAGGAAUAUUGGUCAAUGGGCGAGAGCCUGAACCAGCCAAGUCGCGUGAGGGAGUACUGCCCUAUGGGUUGUAAACCUCUUUUGUCGGGGAGCAAAAGCCGGACGUGUCCGGCUGUGAGAGUACCCGAAGAAAAAGCAUCGGCUAACUCCGUGCCAGCAGCCGCGGUAAUACGGAGGAUGCGAGCGUUAUCCGGAUUUAUUGGGGUAAAAGGGUGCGCAGGCGGAUUUUUAAGUCAGCGGUCAAAUCGUGGGGCUCAACCCCAUCCAGCCGUUGAAACUGGGGAUCUAGAGGGUGCGAGAGGUAUGCGGAAUGCGGGGUGUAGCGGUGAAAUGCAUAGAUAUCACGCAGAACCCCGAUUGCGAAGGCAGCAUACCGGUGCACAACUGACGCUCAGGCACGAAAGCGUGGGUAUCGAACAGGAUUAGAUCCCGAGUAGUC
rnacentral:rRNA from 1 species